rnacentral:tRNA from 1 species
UCCUUGGUGGUCUAGUGGUUAGAAUUCGGUGCUUUCACUGCCAUGGCCCUGGUUCAGUUCCUGGUCAGGGAA